GAUUGCUUCAAGUUACGUGCAUAUUCAGUCUUUCUCGCCUUGUUGCUCCUAAAGAUAACGUUUACUCAUCGAUAGAGAGGAAAUAUCUCUAUUGUUCUCAAAUAUCCCAAGAGGCAAUCGCAAGACAAAUUUCCAAUGAACGAUAUUUCAAAGAAUCUCAAAAGUGCUGGAAGCUGUACAGUGAUGCAGAAGCAUGCCAUUUGGCAGAGUCGAGAUCAUUCAGCAACUGAGGUUUGGUUUGGACACCAGAAUUGAAUAGCAUGGCACAUGUUAAAUUUAUUCCUGCAGAACAAAUGGCAUUAUUUAAAUUUGGAAAACAGAGAGAUGUGGCCUGUAUAAGUGUCAAUCCAGCUAUCCGGUUAAGAAUGAAAAAUAAGGGAAUG